UACGUAGGGUGCGAGCGUUAAUCGGAAUUACUGGGCAUAAAGGGUGCGCAGGCGGUCCUGCAAGUCAGGCGUGAAAUCCCCGGGCUUAACCUGGGAAUGGCACUUGAAACUACGGGACUGGAGUAUGGCAGAGGGAGGUGGAAUUCCACGUGUAGCGGUGAAAUGCGUAGAGAUGUGGAGGAACACCGAUGGCGAAGGCAGCCUCCUGGGCCAAUACUGACGCUCAUGCACGAAAGCGUGGGGAGCAAACAGG
rnacentral:rRNA from 1 species